GAGUUUGAUCCUGGUUCAGAACGAACGCUGGCGGCGUGCCUAACACAUGCAAGUCGUACGAGAAACACGUCCUUCGGGGCGUGGAGUAAAGUGGCGCACGGGUGAGUAACACGUGGGUAACCUGCCCUUGGAACCGGGAUAACUGGCCGAAAGGCCCGCUAAUACCGGAUAAGACUUCAUGAGCUUCGGCUCAUGCGGCCAAAGUCGGCCUCUCGAAGAAGCCGGCGCCUGAGGAUGGGCCCGCGGACCAUUAGCUAGUUGGUGAGGCAACGGCUCACCAAGGCCGAGAUGGUUAGCUGGUCUGAGAGGAUGAUCAGCCACACUGGAACUGAGAUACGGUCCAGACUCCUACGGGAGGCAGCAGUGAGGAAUAUUGCGCAAUGGAGGCAACCCUGACGCAGCAACGCCGCGUGGGUGAAGAAGGCUUUCGGGUUGUAAAGCCCUGUCAGGUGGGAAGAAACCUCUUCUAGUGAAUAGCUAGAGGAACUGACGGUACCACCAAAGGAAGCACCGGCUAACUCCGUGCC
rnacentral:rRNA from 1 species